CCUACGGGAGGCAGCAGUGAGGAAUAUUGGUCAAUGGACGAGAGUCUGAACCAGCCAAGUAGCGUGAAGGAUGACUGCCCUAUGGUUUGUAAACUUCUUUUAUGUGGGAAUAAAACGUUCCACGUGUGGGAUUUUGUAUGUACCAUAUUAAUAAGGAUCGGCUAACUCCGUGCCAGCAGCCGCGGUAAUACGGAGGAUCCGAGCGUUAUCCGGAUUUAUUGGGUUUAAAGGGAGCGUAGGUGGAUUGUUAAGUCAGUUGUGAAAGUUUGCGGCUCAACCGUAAAAUUGCAGUUGAAACUGGCAGUCUUGAGUACAGUAGAGGUGGGCGGAAUUCGUGGUGUAGCGGUGAAAUGCUUAGAUAUCACGAAGAACUCCGAUUGCGAAGGCAGUUCACUGGACUGCAACUGACACUGAGGCUCGAAAGUGUGGGUAUCAAACAGGAUUAGAUACCCGAGUAGUC
rnacentral:rRNA from 1 species